UCGAGAAUCUUCGGCAAUGGGCGCAAGCCUGACCGAGCGACGCCGCGUGGAGGACGAAGGCCUUCGGGUUGUAAACUCCUGUCGAGGGGGAAGAAGGCCGGGCAACCGGCUUGACUGAUCCCUGGAGGAAGCACGGGCUAAGUUCGUGCCAGCAGCCGCGGUAAGACGAACCGUGCGAACGUUAUUCGGAAUCACUGGGCUUAAAGCGCGUGUAGGCGGGACGGCACGUCGGUCGCUGAAAGCCCCCGGCUCAACCGGGGAAUGGGCGCCGAUACGACCGGCCUGGAGGGACGUAGGGGGACCUGGAACUUCCGGUGGAGCGGUGAAAUGCGUUGAGAUCGGAAGGAACGCCCGUGGCGAAAGCGAGGUCCUGGACGUCUGCUGACGCUGAGACGCGAAAGCCAGGGGAGCGAACGG
rnacentral:rRNA from 1 species